rnacentral:rRNA from 1 species
GACGAACGCUGGCGGCGUGCUUAACACAUGCAAGUCGAACGGAAAGGCCCUGCUUUUGGGGGGUGCUCGAGUUGCGAACGGGUGAGUAACACGUGAGUAACCUGCCCUUGACUUUGGGAUAACUUCAUGAAACUUGGUCUAAUACCGGAUAGGAUCUCCUGCUGCAUGGUGGGGGUUGGAAAGUUUCGGCGGUUGGGGAUGGACUCGCCGCUUAUCAGCUUGUUGGUUGGGUAGUGGCUUACCAAGGCUUUGACGGGUAGCCGGCCUGAGCGGGUGACCGGCCACAUUAGGACUGAGAUACGGCCCAGACUCCUACGGGACGCAGCAGUGGGGAAUAUUACACAAUGGGCGGAAGCCUGAUGCAGCAACGCCGCGUGGGGGAUGACGGCAUUCGGGUUGUAAACCGCUUUCGCCUGUGACGAGGCGUGAGUGACGGUAAUGGGUAAAGAAGCACCGGCUAACUACGUG